UACGUAGGGUGCGAGCGUUGUCCGGAAUCAUUGGGCGUAAAGAGCGUGUAGGCGGCCACUUAAGUCCUGCGUGAAAUCUUGCGGCUCAACCGCAAGCGGUCGUGGGAAACUGGGUGGCUAGAGUGCGGGAGAGGAGAGUGGAAUUCCUGGUGUAGCGGUGGAAUGCGCAGAUAUCAGGAAGAACACCCGUGGCGAAGGCGGCUCUCUGGAACGCAACUGACGCUGAGACGCGAAAGCGUGGGGAGCAAACAGG
rnacentral:rRNA from 1 species